rnacentral:tRNA from 1 species
GGAUUGUAGCUCAGUGGUAGAGAACUUGCCUACCAAGUGUGAGGCACUGGGUUCAAUUCUCAGCACCA